rnacentral:rRNA from 1 species
AUUGAACGCUGGCGGCAGGCCUAACACAUGCAAGUCGAGCGGAUGAAGGGAGCUUGCUCCUGGAUUCAGCGGCGGACGGGUGAGUAAUGCCUAGGAAUCUGCCUGGUAGUGGGGGAUAACGUCCGGAAACGGGCGCUAAUACCGCAUACGUCCUGAGGGAGAAAGUGGGGGAUCUUCGGACCUCACGCUAUCAGAUGAGCCUAGGUCGGAUUAGCUAGUUGGUGGGAUAAAGGCCUACCAAGGCGACGAUCCGUAACUGGUCUGAGAGGAUGACCAGUCACACUGGAACUGAGACACGGUCCAGACUCCUACGGGAGGCAGCAGUGGGGAAUAUUGGACAAUGGGCGAAAGCCUGAUCCAGCCAUGCCGCGUGUGUGAAGAAGGUCUUCGGAUUGUAAAGCACUUUAAGUUGGGAGGAAGGGCAGUAAGUUAAUACCUUGCUGUUUUGACGUUACCAACAGAAUAAGCACCGGCUAACUUCGUG